CAUCUUAAUACUUUUUCAGUAGAUCAUGAAGCAGUUUAUUUAAUAUUAUUUGGAUAACAAGCCUCCACAUGAAUGGGAUUCGAAUGUCAAUUGUCUUAGGGGGAAAAAGAUUUAUUGGUUGGUAAAUAUUGAGAAAAGAACACUGAUAAAGACCAGCUUCAGCUGCGGCCUCGGCCGGGGACGGGAGAACAGGCCUGUGUUGUGUUUUGGGGCCCUGGGAAGGCAAAAACUGGUGAAUGUCUGCCUUUGUUGGUGGGUGUAAAAGUGGAGCCCACCACAAAUAAUUUCUUAUUUCUGUUCACAUAGAUUUUAAAUUAUGUAGCUCCCCUACCUUGUUAAGCAUUAAAGCGGUCUUGUUUUAAGGAAAAGGCACUUAAAUAAUGAAGCUUAUGUAGUUUGUUUUCAGACAUCAAUAUCUGGCUUUGAGUGGCACAAAGAGAUAAAGGAAUGUGGAUUCAC
rnacentral:sRNA from 1 species